AUUGAACGCUGGCGGCAGGCUUAACACAUGCAAGUCGAACGGUAACAGGAGAAAAGCUUGCUUUUCUUGUUGACGAGUGGCGGACGGGCGAGUAAUGCUUGGGAAUCUGCCUUAUGGAGGGGGGUAACUACGGGAAACUGUAGCUAAUACCGCGUAAUAUCUUCGGAUUAAAGCGUGGGACCUUCGGGCCACAUGCCAUGAGAUGAGCCCAAGUGAGAUUAGGUAGUUGGUGAGGUAAAGGCUCACCAAGCUGACGAUCUCUAGCUGGUUUGAGAGGAUGACCAGCCACACUGGAACUGCGACACGGUCCAGACUCCUACGGGAGGCAGCAGUGGGGAAUAUUGCACAAUGGGCGCAAGCCUGAUGCAGCCAUGCCGCGUGAAUGAAGAAGGCUUUCGGGUUGUAAAGUUCUUUCAGUGGUGAGGAAGGGUUAAUAUCUAAUAGGUAUUAACAUUGACGUUAGCCACAGAAGAAGCACCGGCUAACUCCGUGCCAGCAGCCGCGGUAAUACGGAGGGUGCGAGCGUUAAUCGGAAUAACUGGGCGUAAAGGGCACGCAGGCGGUUGUCUAAGUCAGAUGUGAAAGCCCCGAGCUUAACUUGGGAAUUGCAUUUGAGACUGGGCGACUAGAGUCCUCUAGGGAGGGGUAGAAUUCCACGUGUAGCGGUGAAAUGCGUAGAGAUGUGGAGGAAUACCGAAGGCGAAGGCAGCCCCUUGGAGAGAGACUGACGCUGAGGUGCGAAAGCGUGGGUAGCAAACAGG
rnacentral:rRNA from 1 species